GAGGAAGCGCAGUGGAGGCGGCAGCUACAGUGCGACAAGCCUCAUUCAAACCGGCCACUGGCGAUGACGCAGCAGCACGCUGUUCGCCCAGGAAGCCACCUCCGAGAGGUGCUGAAGAGUAUUCCAUUUCAAGGAUGUGCUACCAAUUCAAUUAAACUAUCCUGAAAGAGAAAGACUUGAGAUACUCGGCAAGUAUCAAAGCUCUGCAGAACUCUCAGACUCCAAGCAACAUGCCAAGUAUUGCAGAGGGUUGAAUAGCAUGGGGGUAUCAACCAGGCUAACCUGGAACUCUGCAUCACCAUGAAUGGCUACAUAGAUCAUUGGCCCACUCUAGCAUGGAGCAUUUGGAGACAAUCAGAGAGGCCAGAAGAGGGCAUCAGAUUCCUUGGAGCUAGAGGUCCAAGGGGUUUUAAGGGGUCCAAUGUGGGUGCUAGGAAUCAAACUUGGGUCUUCUAGAAGGGCAACAAGCUCUCUUAAUGGCUGAGCCCUCAUAUUAUCAAUUAAAAAAAUUAAGGUUACUUAUCAUAAACUUCUUUAAAAUUAUUUUUAUUUUAUGUGUACGAAUGUUUUGUCUGCAGACAAAUAACAUGCAUAUGCCUAGUUCCUUCAGGAACCAUAAGGAAGCUGUUGGAUUGGAGCUGGACCUAGAGAUGAGGUACAAUUCCGAGAAGGGAACUACCAUGUGGGUUUUGGGACCUGAACCUAGGUCUUCUUCUUUUGUUUUUUAUUAGAUAUUUUCUUUAUUUGCAUGUCAUAUGAUAUCUCCUUUCCCACUUUCCCCUCCAAAAAACAAAACAAAACAAAACAAAAAACAAAAAAUAAUAAGAACAAACCCCUGUUCCCUCCCUCCUCCCCCUCAACCUGGGUCUUCUUUAAGCGCAGCAACUGCUCAUCAUUUUUGAGCUUUCUAUCCAGCCCCACACUGCCAUUUGCUAAGGAAACUAUAUACCUUCUUCUGCUGUUCUCAUUCUUUCAUUUAGCUCUUCAUUUUCUUUUCUUAGUAUUUCAAUAUCU